UACGUAGGGUGCGAGCGUUGUCCGGAAUUACUGGGCGUAAAGGGCUCGUAGGUGGCCAACUAAGUCGGACGUGAAAUCCCUCGGCUUAACCGGGGAACUGCGUCCGAUACUGGUUGGCUUGAGUUUGGGAGAGGGAUGCGGAAUUCCAGGUGUAGCGGUGAAAUGCGCAGAUAUCAGGAGGAACACCAGUGGCGAAGGCGGUGCUCUGGGCCGGAACUGACGCUGAGGAGCGAAAGCGUGGGGAGCAAACAGG
rnacentral:rRNA from 1 species